rnacentral:rRNA from 1 species
UGAUCCUGGCUCAGAUUGAACGCUGGCGGCAGGCCUAACACAUGCAAGUCGAGCGGUAGAGAGAAGCUUGCUUCUCUUGAGAGCGGCGGACGGGUGAGUAACGCCUAGGAAUCUGCCUAGUGGUGGGGGAUAACGUUCGGAAACGGACGCUAAUACCGCAUACGUCCUACGGGAGAAAGCGGGGGACCUUCGGGCCUCGCGCCAUUAGAUGAGCCUAGGUCGGAUUAGCUAGUUGGUGAGGUAAUGGCUCACCAAGGCGACGAUCCGUAACUGGUCUGAGAGGAUGAUCAGUCACACUGGAACUGAGACACGGUCCAGACUCCUACGGGAGGCAGCAGUGGGGAAUAUUGGACAAUGGGCGAAAGCCUGAUCCAGCCAUGCCGCGUGUGUGAAGAAGGUCUUCGGAUUGUAAAGCACUUUAAGUUGGGAGGAAGGGUAGUAACUUAAUACGUUGCUACUUUGACGUUACCGACAGAAUAAGCACCGGCUAACUUCGUGCCAGCAGCCGCGGUAAUACGAAGGGUGCAAGCGUUAAUCGGAAUUACUGGGCGUAAAGCGCGCGUAGGUGGUUCAGUAAGUUGGAAGUGAAAUCCCCGGGCUCAACCUGGGAACUGCUUUCAAAACUGCUGAGCUAGAGUACGGUAGAGGGUGGUGGAAUUUCCUGUGUAGCGGUGAAAUGCGUAGAUAUAGGAAGGAACACCAGUGGCGAAGGCGACCACCUGGACUGAUGCUGACACUGAGGUGCGAAAGCGUGGGGAGCAAACAGGAUUAGAUACCCUGGUAGU